CCAGUGGUGGUUCAGUGGUAGAAUCCUAGCCUUCCAUGCAGAAGAACCAGGUUUGAUUCUUGGCCAGUGCA
rnacentral:tRNA from 1 species